AAAAAAAAAAAAAAUGCCCGUGAGCCUCUCUACCCGGGAUCUUGAAGCCAAGGUGGUGGUUGUGUGCUGUCCUCCUCGUAAAUGGUGGCAAAUAAGUAAGAAGAGAGCAAGCUAUCUUCAGAUAAAUUCAAUCUGAGAUUCUCCCAGGAGGUGGAAGAAAAGGGCUCCCUUCUGUUGGUUAGUGGUCUGGAGCCCUCUUCGCCUUCAACUGAGCCACAAAAGAAUGGAAGACACCCCUGGGGUGGGAAGAAAGCCCUGGUGUAAAAAGACACACGUUUUGCUUUCCGAGAAAAAGCCACUGGGGCCAGAUUGAAGCAUGGCAUGUUCGGUUCAUGUAGGGUGGUGUGUGUGUGUGUGUGUGUUUUUUUUUUUAAACUGGGGGAAUGAUAUUGAGUAAACACGAUGUCAUAGCUGGGUCUUUCAAGUUCUGUAAGGGAAAUGUAACAAGCACGAAUGUAACAAGCACAAGUUUUGUACAUACAGCAGGUGGUCAUGGCUUUUACAGAACACAGGCAAAAAAGAUACAUACAGAAACCCAGCCAAAGGCCAGGAAGGGAGAUGAUCGUCACCCAUCUGAGAGGGAGAGAGACAGAGAGCGCGAUUCCUUCUGUGCCAGAUGAAGUGUGCUGUUUCCCAGCCCUGUGUCCUGGUGCCCAUAUUGUGCACAGUCGAGCACGCCACUGAAAGGGUUCUUUUUUUUUUUUAGAACAAGAGAAACCUCCAUGUCGAGCUAAUUGUGCUGACUGGAAGUCGGACAAAAUGGAAGGAUCUGAAAAAAACAACAACUGCCACCAUUACCUCCUAAAAAGGCUCUCUCUUGUUUGCUUGUAACUCUGAAGACCAAACUCUCAGUGGAGGAGCCGUGAAGACUCCCAGCAGAAGCACUCCCGAGUGCUUUAUUUUAAAGCGGACUGGUGAAUGUCUGCAAAGCGGACAGAGGAGGUUUUCCUUUGAAAUCUCAGUGUCCCCUUGCAUUAACUUCCGUUGAGGAAGCCAUUGUUCUCUGUGCUAGGGCGCCCGUGGGAUGGACACUGUAAAAGAUCUUUUGCUCCUGGAGACUUUUCAUGCAAAUGAGUUGAAUUACUGUCUCACAUGAGAGUUCUUUAGUUUCAGCCUGUGCCUGUGCCACGAUGCCCGCGUUGCAGCGCGUCUCGGCCCAGGUUUGGGAAGACCCAUGCAGUCGGCAGAUUUUUGCCAACCACAGCAUCGUGUUUGCCAGUGUUACAAGAUGAUGAAAUUGAAACUCUCAUCUUCUGGAAGCCAGAGAACAAUGCCACCCAACACACUCUGUGCGUUGAGUUUCACCCUUGCCUGGACUUGAUUUCAUUUGAGAGGAAGCCUUUUCCUUCUUCUGAAGGAAUACAGCCCCUCUCCCUUGGCACCUGAGAUAAACCUCUGGCUGGUGAUGGCUACCUUCCUCAAUGAAGAAUUAUCUGGUGGACGCUGCGCGACUAUGGAGGCCCUUCUCACACCUCCCGUUUCUUAGCUUCGGUGACAUCUUCGCUCCUUCCAUAGGCUCUUCCCACUCAGCCUCUCCUCUUGGCUCAUUUUCUGCAUUCCUCUCUGAAAUACAGAUUGUGCUCCAGGUUCUA